rnacentral:misc_RNA from 1 species
GUUGGAUUCGAACAAAAUCUUCAGCAAUCAAGUUUGGGAGUGCUAGUUCAUUUGAUUUCAAGAAUCUGGUAUUUGACAAUAUCACUAUAGUUGAUUCUCACAGAGGGCUGGGACUGCAGAUACGUGAUGGAGGAAAUGUGAGCGACGUCACUUUCUCAAACAUAAACAUUAGUACUAGAUACUAUGAUCCAUCAUGGUGGGGGAGAGCAGAGCCUAUUUAUGUGACGACUUGCCCGCGGGACUCAAAUGCAAAAGAGGGCUCUAUAUCUAAUUUACUCUUCAUUAACAUAACAGCAACUUCUGAAAAUGGCAUCUUCUUAUCAGGUUCUAA